rnacentral:rRNA from 1 species
UACAGAGGUCUCAAGCGUUGUUCGGAUUCAUUGGGCGUAAAGCGCGCGUAGGCGGCCCGGUAAGUCCGCUGUAAAAGUCCAGGGCUCAACCCUGGAAUGCCGGUGGAUACUGUCGGGCUAGAGUGCGGAAGAGGCGAGUGGAAUUCCUGGUGUAGCGGUGAAAUGCGUAGAUAUCUGGAGGAACACCGGUGGCGAAGGCGGCAUUCUGGACCAUAACUGACACUGAGAGACGAAAGCCAGGGGAGCAAACGGG